UUAAAAUAUAUUUACUUAUGCGGGGGUUACUAACGGACACUAUAUACAAGUUAAGUGUCUAAUUCAAACUGACGCUAAAUACUUUAAAUAUAACAAAACCUAAAAUUUACAAUCAGAUCUCUUUAUCCCCAUUCGAAAUUUUACAGCCAAAAACCUAAUAGAACAUCUCUCUCUUCGAUUUUUACAGCCCCAAAUCUAAAGGUCUCCAUUAACGUUGACAGGCCACCCCGAGCCGCCCUUUAGCAAUCUCUCUUUCUCUUCCCUUCUCCGUCGGACAUCUCUCUCUGUCAAUUAAUUUUUUGAUUUUGAUUUUGCUUUUAGUUUUUAUGGUUUGUUGAUUAAUUGAUUUUUAAUUAAGUUUAUUUGAUAUUGUAUAGCUUGACUCGUCAAUUGCUCUACCCCGUUGGCUUGAAGUUCUUCUCUGUGAAAAGUUCUACAACACUUGUAUAAUUCACGAAGAUGCCAAAAAGAACGAGAAGAACAUCUUCUGCUUGGAUUAUUGCAUCAGUAUCUGUCCUCACUGCUUGCCCCGUAAUCGUUCUCAUAGACUUUUGCAGGUUUUUAUUUUUAUAUAAUUUGUUCAUAAUUCUUCUUAUGUUCUUCACAAUUUAAUUUCAAAAGGUUUAAUUUUUUGAUUUUUAUUAUGCCUUUUUUUUCCUUCUUUUAAUACAAAACAUAAUUUUUACAACCGCAAAUCUAAAAGUCUCCAUUAACGCCGGCUGCCAAAAAUGUAAGUCUCUCUCUCCCCUCUUUUUCUCUCUGCGCGCUAAUCUCUUUCCGUCUCUUUCUUUAUUUUCAGUAGAGAGGGGAAGUUGGUGGAGUGACAUUAUUGGUUGAUCCAAUCUUGGUGGGUAAUUUGGAUUUUGGAAUCCCGUGGCUUUAUGAUGCUGCCAAGAAGUUUUUGAGGAGUUUUCAGCUAAGUGAUCUUCCUGAAAUUAAUUGCCUGUUAAUUACACAAAGCCUUGAUGAUCACUGUCAUUUGAAGAUUUUGAAUCUCCUCUCUGCUAAGUACCCCAAUCUUAGAGUGUUGGCAACUCCAACCUAUAUAUCAUUCUAAUUGUUAAUUAUAUAAGCACUGUGGUUUGCUGAGUCUUGUCUUGGUAAAUGCAUACAUAUAAGCACUAAUUUCAGAAACAUGAAAUGGAAUAUCUCCAUUCUGUUAUGAACUUUGUAUGUUACUUAUACGUUGUGUUCUAGAGUUAAUAUAAAACAUCGAUGUUUUGUUCUUAAAUCUCUCAGUAAGUGGGGGGGUUUCAUCUUACAAUGGCAAGAGCAAGGUCCUUGUAUUGUUUCAAUGUUGUUUACUUCUUUUCUUUUUCUUAGCCGUUUUGUUGUUUUACUAAUGAACAUCUUUAAUCUUGACAAAUAGUUGAGAUAGUGGAUAGUGUAACUUGAUAAAGUAAUAUUUUGGAAGGUUUUAUUUCUGUGAUUA